rnacentral:rRNA from 1 species
CGGUGAAGCCCAGCUUGCUGGGUGGAUCAGUGGCGAACGGGUGAGUAACACGUGAGCAACCUGCCCCCCACUUCGGGAUAAGCCUUGGAAACGAGGUCUAAUACCGGAUACGAGCACCUACCGCAUGGUAGGUGUUGGAAAGUUUUUCGGUGGGGGAUGGGCUCGCGGCCUAUCAGCUUGUUGGUGGGGUAAUGGCCUACCAAGGCGUCGACGGGUAGCCGGCCUGAGAGGGCGACCGGCCACACUGGGACUGAGACACGGCCCAGACUCCUACGGGAGGCAGCAGUGGGGAAUAUUGCACAAUGGGCGAAAGCCUGAUGCAGCGACGCCACGUGAGGGAUGACGGCCUUCGGGUUGUAAACCUCUUUCAGCAGGGAAGAAGCGAAAGUGACGGUACCUGCAGAAGAAGCGCCGGCUAACUACGUGCCAGCAGCCGCGGUAAUACGUAGGGCGCAAGCGUUGUCCGGAAUUAUUGGGCGUAAAGAGCUCGUAGGCGGUCUGUCGCGUCUGGUGUGAAAUCCCAUGGCUCAACUGUGGGCUUGCAUCGGGUACGGGCAGACUAGAGUGCUGUAGGGGAGACUGGAAUUCCUGGUGUAGCGGUGGAAUGCGCAGAUAUCAGGAGGAACACCGAUGGCGAAGGCAGGUCUCUGGGCAGUUACUGACGCUGAGGAGCGAAAGCAUGGGGAGCGAACAG